rnacentral:rRNA from 1 species
AUUGAACGCUGGCGGCAGGCCUAACACAUGCAAGUCGAGCGAGCGGCGGACGGGUGAGUAAUGUAUGGGGACUGCCCGAUAGAGGGGGAUAACUACUGGAAACGGUGGCUAAUACCGCAUACUAUCGGAUAACCCAUAUGGGAUUAGCUAGUAGGUGGGGUAAAGGAUCACCUAGGCGACGAUCUCUAGCUGGUCUGAGAGGAUGAUCAGCCACACUAGGACGGAGACACGGCCCAGAAUCCGACGGAGGCAGCAGUGGGUAAUAUUGCACAAUGGGCGCAAGCCUGAUGCAGCCAUGCCGAGUGUAUGAAGAAGGCCUUAGGGUUGUAAAGUACUUUCAGCGGGGAGGCGUUACCGGCAGAAGAAGCACCGGCUAACUCAGUGCCAGCAGCCGCGGUAAUUC